rnacentral:lncRNA from 1 species
GCCUCCUCAAUGGUCCUAGGUUUAGUAUCCAGACGAGUUGUAAAGGCUCGAAAUUCCGGACUAAGGCAUCCAUAGUUGACAUACCUUUGAAUGGGAUGUUGGGUGCACUCUCGGACACCUUUCCUCAUAGCUAUUGGUAAGUAUAGGUCAUAGUCCUCGGGCUGAACUUCCUCAACCACAGGAUCUUCAUGUUCUGAUUGUGGAGUUGAUUCGGGUGCAACCGUAUCUUCCACAUCGAUCUGUCUUUUUGUAGUUGUAGUCUCCUUAGAACUCUCAGGAGCUAUACAUCGAUCUGUCUUUCUGUAGUUGUAGUCUCCUCAAAACUCUCAGGAGCUGUUCUUCUUCUACGUUGGUAAAC